rnacentral:rRNA from 1 species
GAUGAACGCUAGCGGCAGGCUUAACACAUGCAAGUCGAGGGGCAGCGCGAUGUAGCAAUACAUUGGCGGCGACCGGCGCACGGGUGCGUAACACGUAUGGAAUCUGCCCUUUACUGGGGGAUAGCCCGGAGAAAUCCGGAUUAAUACCCCAUAACAAUCGAGGUGGCAUCACCUUGAUUUGAAAGCUCCGGCGGUAAAGGAUGACCAUGCGCACGAUUAGCUAGUAGGUGAGGUAACGGCUCACCUAGGCUACGAUCGUUAGGGGGCCUGAGAGGGUUAUCCCCCACACUGGUACUGAGACACGGACCAGACUCCUACGGGAGGCAGCAGUGAGGAAUAUUGCGCAAUGGAGGCAACUCUGACGCAGCCAUGCCGCGUGCAGGAAGAAGGCGCUACGCGUUGUAAACUGCUUUUAACCGGGAAGAAACCCCUCUACGUGUGGAGGGUUGACGGUACCGGAGGAAUAAGCACCGGCUAACUUCGUGCCAGCAGCCGCGGUAA